rnacentral:rRNA from 1 species
AACGAACGCUGGCGGCAUGCCUAACACAUGCAAGUCGAACGAGACCUUCGGGUCUAGUGGCGCACGGGUGCGUAACGCGUGGGAACCUGCCCUUAGGUUCGGAAGAACUCCCCGAAAGGGGUGCUAAUACCGGAUAAUGUCUUCGGACCAAAGAUUUGUCGCCUUUGGAUGGGCCCGCGUUGGAUUAGCUAGUUGGUAGGGUAAAAGCCUACCAAGGCGACGAGGCAUAGCUGGUCUGAGAGGAUGAUCAGCCACACUGGGACUGAGACACGGCCCAGAAUCCUACGGGAGGCAGCAGUGGGGAAUAUUGGACAAUGGGCGAAAGCAUGAUCCAGCAAUGCCGCGUGAGUGAUGAAGGCCUUAGGGUUGUAAAGCUCUUUUACCCGGGAUGAUAAUGACGGUACCGGGAGAAUAAGCACCGGCUAACUCCGUG